rnacentral:rRNA from 1 species
GACGAACGCUGGCGGCGUGCUUAACACAUGCAAGUCGAACGGAAAGACGAUGCGUUUGUGGGGUUCUCGAGUGGGGAGCGGGGGAGUAACACGUGAGUAUACUGCACUUAUCUUUGGGAUAACAUCAGGGGACUGGGGCUCAUACCCGAUAGAAGCUCCUGAAGCGUGGUGUGGGUUGGAAAGAUACGGCCGUUGUGGAUGGACUCGCGGCUUAUCGGCUUGUUGGUGGGGUAGUGGCUUACGAAGUCUUUGAAGGGUAGGCGGCAUGAGAGGGUGACCGGGGUCCUGGGGCCUGCGAGAGGGCGCAGACUCCUACGUGAGGCAGCGGGGGGGAAUAUGACACAACGGGCGGAAGCCUGAGGCGGCAACGUUGCGUGCGGGAUGACGGCCUUCGGGUUGUAAACCGCUUUGGCCUGUGACGAAGCGUGAGUGACGGUAACGGGUAAAGAAGCACCGGCUAACUACGUG